UACGAAGGGUGCAAGCGUUAUCCGGAUUUACUGGGUUUAAAGGGUGUGUAGGCGGGCUUUUAAGUCAGUGGUGAAAUCUCCGGGCUCAACCUGGAAACUGCCAUUGAUACUAUUAGUCUUGAAUUUUGUUGAGGUAGGCGAAUGAAGAUCAUGGUAGCGGUGAAAUGCAUAGAUAUGACUUAGAACACCAAUUGCGAAGGCAGCUUGCUAAACAAAUAUUGACGCUGAGGCACGAAAGCGUGGGGAUCAAACAGG
rnacentral:rRNA from 1 species